CAGGGUGCUCGUGGAUUCCCGGGAACCCCCGGUCUUCCUGGUGUCAAGGGUCACAGAGGUUACCCAGGCCUCGAUGGUGCUAAGGGAGAAGCUGGUGCUCCAGGUGUGAAGGGUGAGAGCGGUUCCCCUGGUGAGAACGGAUCCCCAGGCCCAAUGGGUCCCCGUGGCCUGCCUGGCGAGAGAGGACGGACUGGCCCUGCUGGUGCUGCUGGUGCUCGAGGCAACGACGGCCAGCCAGGCCCUGCUGGACCUCCGGGUCCUGUUGGUCCUGCAGGUGGUCCUGGCUUCCCUGGUGCUCCUGGUGCCAAGGGCGAAGCUGGUCCCACUGGUGCCCGUGGUCCUGAAGGUGCUCAAGGUUCUCGUG
rnacentral:lncRNA from 1 species